rnacentral:tRNA from 1 species
ACCUGGCUGGCUCAGUCAGUAGAGCAUGUGACUCUUGAUCUCAGGGUCGUGAGUACAAGCCCCAUGUUGGGCA